rnacentral:rRNA from 1 species
UACGAAGGGGGCUAGCGUUGCUCGGAAUUACUGGGCGUAAAGCGCACGUAGGCGGCUUCUUAAGUCGGUGGUGAAAUCCUGGAGCUCAACUCCAGAACUGCCUUCGAUACUGGGAGCUCGAGUCCGGGAGAGGUGAGUGGAACUGCGAGUGUAGAGGUGAAAUUCGUAGAUAUUCGCAAGAACACCAGUGGCGAAGGCGGCUCACUGGCCCGGUACUGACGCUGAGGCGCGAAAGCGUGGGGAGCAAACAGG